GACGAACGCUGGCGGCGUGCUUAACACAUGCAAGUCGAACGGAAAGGCCCUGCUUGCAGGGUGCUCGAGUGGCGAACGGGUGAGUAACACGUGGGUGAUCUGCCCCUUACUUUGGGAUAAGCCUGGGAAACUGGGUCUAAUACUGGAUAGGACCAUGCUGUAGGUGGUGUGGUGGAAAGAUUAGUUUCGGUAAGGGAUGAGCUCGCGGCCUAUCAGCUUGUUGGUGGGGUAAUGGCCUACCAAGGCGUCGACGGGUAGCCGGCCUGAGAGGGUGGACGGCCACAUUGGGACUGAGAGACGGCCCAGACUCCUACGGGAGGCAGCAGAGGGGAAUAUUGCACAAUGGGCGCAAGCCGGAUGCAGCGACGCCGCGUGGGGGAUGACGGCCUUCGGGUUGUAAACUCCUUUCAGCCAUGACGAAGCCCUUGUGGUGACGGUAGUGGUAGAAGAAGCACCGGCUAACUACGUG
rnacentral:rRNA from 1 species